AGAGAAAUUAAUGGUAGAGAAAUAUAACCUGGGGACACUUUUGCUGAACUCAUUGGUUACAGUUUACUAAAGACAGAGAGCCAAAUUCCCAGCUAGGGUAACUUGUUUCAUUUCCACUGACUUUCAAGAGGCUCUGAAGUCUAAGGGCUUGUAAGAGCUCAAAACUGAAGACAGAACACUGAAAGGAAUUUGAGGAAGUAGUGGAGCAAGCCUGAGAACCUGCUUGCUUUGGAGAAACAUCAUGGCAAGAUGACGUGAACUCACAGUGAAGUGCCUUUCACUGGCCUGUAGAGCUUCAGUGAUGGAAAAUGUGACUACAGCUUGAAGCAGGCUGAAAGCAACAAAAACACAAGCCCUGAUACAAGAUUCUGUGCAAACUUCUUCUGGGUUGAGCUGGAAAUGGAUGGCUUUCUGAAAGGAUUUUGACAGCUCCGCUUUUCUUUUCUUUUUUUUAAUUAAAUUGAAUAGAAAGGAAAAAGGAAAGGAAAAUUAAUUAAGAGCUUUUUGUUUGUUUGAUCUUAGUAGACAGUUAAGCUCAAUUUUUAUUGGAUCUUUAGGCAGGGAUUCUGGUUUAUUUAUCCAAUCUGUCUGACGAUUAUUAUAUUUCUGGUAGGGUGAACACCAAAGAAUAAAUGAAGGAUAAUGAGAUAAACA
rnacentral:lncRNA from 1 species